GCGUGCACCGGAGGCAGGGUCCCUGGUGCAGAGGUGGCGGCUGCGCUGGUUUGUGUGUGGGGAUUGGCGGUUUCUGGAUCCUUCCUCCAGGAUUUUCAGCGCUGUGGAGCUCUCCUUUCUGCAGUGUGGAGGAGCGCUGGGCAGGAGGCGGCGCCGAGAAAAAGAAGUUGGAAUGAUCUAUCUGUCAACAGAAUCAUGCGUGUGUUGUGAGCAUUGGACGGCCGUGGGCCUGUCAGGCCGGCGCCCCAGCCCACCUGGCGCCACCACUUCCCUCCCUGAUGCCUCAAUGCCCCUGUCGCCAACACUCCCCUCCCAGAUGCCCCACUGCCCCUCGCUCCCCAGCGGCUGUGGACCUCUCUGGCCGGCGCCCCAGCCCUGCCCAGCGCUGCCCCUUCCCUCCCCGACCCCACACUGCCCCUCUCGCCCCAGCAGCUGUGGGCCUGUCAGGCCCGUGCCCCAGCCCUGCCCUGUGCCCCUGCCUCCCCACCCCAAUGCCCUGCUGCCCCUCCUGCCCUAGCGGCCGUGGGCCUGUCAGGCCAGUGCCUCAGCCCCGCCCAGUGCCACCCAUCCCCUCACCGACACCCCACUGCCAUUCCCUCCCCAGCGGCCGUGGGCCUGUCAGGCCGGCGCCCAAGCACCGAGAGCAGAGGGAAAGAGUGUCCAGACCUGCAGGGGCCAGGCUGUCAGAUGCACCGGUCUCACUACAGAAGUUACCCCCGCCCACUCCACACAAGGACCAGCUCU